rnacentral:sRNA from 12 species
GGCUGCGCCGUGUCGGGUGUGUGGAAACGCCCCCGGAGGUUUUGCGAAAAGAACCUCGACAGCACGUAGCGCAGCCUU